rnacentral:rRNA from 1 species
GACGAAGGGGGCUAGCGUUGUUCGGAAUUACUGGGCGUAAAGCGCGUGUAGGCGGUUGUUCAAGUCGGGUGUGAAAGCCUUGAGCUCAACUCAAGAAAUGCACUCGGUACUGGAUGACUAGAGGACCGGAGAGGAUAGUGGAAUUCCCAGUGUAGUGGUGAAAUACGUAGAGAUUGGGAAGAACACCAGUGGCGAAGGCGGCUAUCUGGACGGUUUCUGACGCUAAGACGCGAAAGCGUGGGGAGCAAGCAGG